rnacentral:rRNA from 1 species
CCAGCAGCCGCGGUAAUUCCAGCUCCAAUAGUGUAUAUUAGAGUUGUUGCAGUUAAAAAGCUCGUAGUUGGAUUUCUGUCGUGGUCAUCCUGUGCUGCCCGUAUAGGCGUGCACGUGGUUUGCCCUCGACUUUCUUCCGGUAGCCUCUCUGGCUCUUCACUGGGUCGGGAGGUGUUCUGGAACUUUUACUUUGAGAAAAAUAGAGUGUUUCAAGCAGGCUUG